rnacentral:misc_RNA from 1 species
AACGCAAAUUGCGCCCAAGGCUUCGGCUGAGGGCAUGUCUGCCUCAGCGUCGGCUAACACCCUCGCCCUCCAACCCUCGGUUGGACAGGACGGACCUGGCCUUCCUGGCUCCGUUUCAAUUGAAACGCCCGGGUUGGCUGAAGUGCAGAGGCUUGAGCAUGGACCCGUUUGUAGGGCAAUGGCUUGGUAGGUAGCCUCGGCUACACAACCUGCCGUUGUCCGAGGGGACUUUGCUGGCGGCCCAGCAGGAAUUCGGGUGGGGCUCUGCUCUCCCGAACGCUUCAAACCUUCGACCUGAGCUCAGGCAAGAGCACCCGCUGAACUUAA